GUUUCUGGUGUCUCCCCCUAACCCCAACACAACCAAACCCCCACCCCCCACCCCGACCCCACCGAAGCCGUCGAUCACUCUUCCUUGUCGCUUGUUGAUAGCAUGUACUGGUUAGAGCUGUUCCUGUUGUGCCGUCCAUCCAAGCCCGAGCCCUCUCUAUAGCCCCUGCACUGUGUACAUUUAAUCUGCAAGGUUAACUGCUAAUUGCUUUUUUUUUUUUUUUGGUGUUAAUAAUGAUGAUGAUGAUGAAGAUGAUGAUCAUUAUGAUGAUAAUAAUAAUGAUGUUAAUUAAGUAUUUGAACUCAAUAUGAUGGUAAUUACAUGUGAGAAAAAAAAUAUUAUAAUAAUCCCAGAGCCAUGUGUGCGAAAAUAUUUUGUACUUUGCUCUGAAAAAAAAAAAAAUUAAUAAUAAUUAUAAGGUUUUUUUUUUUUUUUUUCAAAGUGUUGUGCUCUAUUUUGCCAUGAGAACCUUUUUAAAAAAAAAAACAAAAAAAAAACAAGGUGAUGAGCUGGAGUGCAGCAAAACACUGCUUUGAAUUAGCCCCGACUUUGUUAUGCUAGCAUGCCACGAUGCUAGACUAAUUUAACCAGAUAUUUGACAAACGUAGGGUUUUGCUGUGCAUCCGCACACUCACAAAGAGAGCAAUCAAUGAAAUGUACUAUAAUUUGUACCGUGUGUGUAUUCAACCGUUUCUUUUUAAGGCUCUGUACUGUAUCGAAUGUAUGCUAACCUUUAUGCUGUCCCACCGUUUUUUGCUGUAACAUUGUCAGCCAUCUUGCCGUCACAACCAAAAACUCUCGGCAUAUUCGAAAUCCCGUGUGCUCGCCCCCUUCGUACGUUACUUCCUUCCUCCAGCCGCUUUCGAGAGGGAGCCAAAUUAGUGGGGAAUAGAGACGUAAUUAGCGAGCGGAUCGCUAAGCGAGGGCGCCGUCGCUCUUCUCCUCAUCCCUCCAUCUGCUGAGGAGCAGAGCUCAUAAAUCUAGCUCAAUCCAGGCACUGACAGGGACCCUCUUCAAGGACGACAGUGUCUUGGUGGUGACUAAUUAACCACCACUUAAAGGCGCGUAGAGAAGACGCUGCGACCAUGUGCUCGGCGGCGCAUGGCUUAACAGUGAGCGCUGGUUUCCGCAUCGCGUAUGCCGUAUGCAAGCUCUUACAUUCAUGGACAAAAAGCACGGUUAGGAGCCGAUCAUUCAGUCACGUAAGUGCUGUAUAUAGCAUGUUUUGACAUCGUUGUGUCCCCAUAGCUAAUUUUGUCAAAUCCAGCAAUAACCAAACUAAAACGUAAAUGUAAAGAAGUAUCUAAUUGGCGUAAUCUGUUACGUGUUGACCGGAGUGCCAUGCUAAUCUAAUCCUGAAAGUGUUGUGUGAUAAAUUAAUGUCAUGUGUGUGAUGGAAGGAGCUCUGGAAGCAGAGUUUAAAGGUUGACCCGGCCUACAUGCUUCUCCAUACCCGUUCCAUCUCUCUCUCUCUCUUCCUCUCUCUCUCUCUCUCUCUAUCUACCUAUCCAUCUAUCUAUAUGGAUCUAUCUAUGGUGUACAAAUCCGUACUGUAUAGCCACAAUUGCAACACACACUUGCAUGUUUUUGAGAUCCCAUCCAAAAAUUUUCUCAUUUGGGUUCAAUUUGAAGCACAAAACCGGUCCCAGUGCUAAUUUUUCUCUGUAUCUGUCUGUCCUUGUCCCUCUUUACUUGUUCACGACUGCGCCCGUGUAAAGCUCAAUGAUCCAUGGCAAACCUAUCUGUGCUCAUGUUUUCUCCUGAACAAUAAGUAAACAAACAAACAAACAAAAAAAAAAGAUAUGUCAUGUUUCUCAAUGUGGGUUAUAAAAAAAAAAAAAAAGCAUGUCAGUGUUUUGUUAUGGGUGGAUUUUCCUUUUAAGAAAAAAAAAAAGUAUGAAUAUGAAAAGUGUGUGUGUGUGUGUGUGUGUGUGUGUGUGUGUGGGAAAGGUUGGCUUUAAAAUAUGGAAGAUUGAAGUGUGAUUUGAUAUGAGCUCCCCUGUAGAGAUGAGUGAUUGUGGGUUACCUGGAGGUCUGGUUUGGGAGGUGAAGAGAGGCAUGUGAGGCAGGAAGGGUGAGAUGGGCCAGCGCUGACCAGACACUGAACUCCCUCUGUAUGCAUGCGAUUAACUGGAAGGCAGCAGCUACAUAUCAGCUUGUGGAUCCAUUUUUUAUAAAGGCAGAUUGCGUCUAUUGAUUUUCCUGCCGCUUCGCUCUGCUGCUUAUGUCCACACAUUUAAAAUGCGCUUCAAUUCUAAUGUCCUACUAGUGUCCAAUAAUACUGAUGGAUACUACAUGCGUUAGUAAGAGGCUUCUAAUUCAUCCACAAACGCUGCAAUUAUUUUUCUUUAGCCACAUGGACGCUCACAACAUAUCCAUGAGCUUCCUCAUGUCCAAUCAGGAGGCACUUGACCGUACAGGUGUCCAAUCAGGAGGUGUCUGGAUUUACACGCGUUCAAACAGGAGGCACUUGAGGUUGCACGUGUCCAAUCAAGAGGCA
ensembl:lncRNA